UAAACCAAUCAUCAACUGAAAGAACAAAGUUCUUCAUCAAGAGUAGCAAAUAUUUUUAUUACAUCACUGGCCUCAUUCAAAAACAAUUCAAAAGUGGAACUUAUUUUGGGAAAUCUAUAUCGAUGAUGGUAAAAUCAGAAGUAGCUGGUUUGUGAUCACAUCUUUCCCGAGGGAAUUCAAAGGGAAUCCGAACGAUUUUUUUCGUCAUCUUUU
rnacentral:sRNA from 1 species